rnacentral:rRNA from 2 species
AUUUGAGUGAGUGGCGAACUGGUGAGUAACACGUGGGAAACCUGCCCAGAAGCGGGGGAUAACACCUGGAAACAGAUGCUAAUACCGCAUAACAACUUGGACCGCAUGGUCCGAGCUUGAAAGAUGGCUUCGGCUAUCACUUUUGGAUGGUCCCGCGGCGUAUUAGCUAGAUGGUGGGGUAACGGCUCACCAUGGCAAUGAUACGUAGCCGACCUGAGAGGGUAAUCGGCCACAUUGGGACUGAGACACGGCCCAAACUCCUACGGGAGGCAGCAGUAGGGAAUCUUCCACAAUGGACGAAAGUCUGAUGGAGCAACGCCGCGUGAGUGAAGAAGGGUUUCGGCUCGUAAAACUCUGUUGUUAAAGAAGAACAUAUCUGAGAGUAACUGUUCAGGUAUUGACGGUAUUUAACCAGAAAGCCACGGCUAACUACGUGCCAGCAGCCGCGGUAAUACGUAGGUGGCAAGCGUUGUCCGGAUUUAUUGGGCGUAAAGCGAGCGCAGGCGGUUUUUUAAGUCUGAUGUGAAAGCCUUCGGCUCAACCGAAGAAGUGCAUCGGAAACUGGGAAACUUGAGUGCAGAAGAGGACAGUGGAACUCCAUGUGUAGCGGUGAAAUGCGUAGAUAUAUGGAAGAACACCAGUGGCGAAGGCGGCUGUCUGGUCUGUAACUGACGCUGAGGCUCGAAAGUAUGGGUAGCAAACAGGAUUAGAUACCCUGGUAGUCCAUACCGUAAACGAUGAAUGCUAAGUGUUGGAGGGUUUCCGCCCUUCAGUGCUGCAGCUAACGCAUUAAGCAUUCCGCCUGGGGAGUACGGCCGCAAGGCUGAAACUCAAAGGAAUUGACGGGGGCCCGCACAAGCGGUGGAGCAUGUGGUUUAAUUCGAAGCUACGCGAAGAACCUUACCAGGUCUUGACAUACUAUGCAAAUCUAAGAGAUUAGACGUUCCCUUCGGGGACAUGGAUACAGGUGGUGCAUGGUUGUCGUCAGCUCGUGUCGUGAGAUGUUGGGUUAAGUCCCGCAACGAGCGCAACCCUUAUUAUCAGUUGCCAGCAUUAAGUUGGGCACUCUGGUGAGACUGCCGGUGACAAACCGGAGGAAGGUGGGGAUGACGUCAAAUCAUCAUGCCCCUUAUGACCUGGGCUACACACGUGCUACAAUGGAUGGUACAACGAGUUGCGAACUCGCGAGAGUAAGCUAAUCUCUUAAAGCCAUUCUCAGUUCGGAUUGUAGGCUGCAACUCGCCUACAUGAAGUCGGAAUCGCUAGUAAUCGCGGAUCAGCAUGCCGCGGUGAAUACGUUCCCGGGCCUUGUACACACCGCCCGUCACACCAUGAGAGUUUGUAACACCCAAAGUCGGUGGGG